rnacentral:lncRNA from 1 species
CGGUCCCGCGGGGAGGCGGCGGGGCGGGGCGGGCCGUGCCCGGGGCUGCCCCGGUGCCCGGGGCUGGGGGCGGUGGGAGCCCGGUGGGGGCUGAGCACGGAACGGAGCCCCGGCGUGUGCACAAACUUGUAACUGUUGCAUCGUCUGUACCUGGGGUCGUGGGGGACGCCACGGCCUCGUCUGUAGUCGUGGUACUCGGGGAACGCCUCGUGUGUGUCUUUUUUUUUUUUUUUUUAUCUUUUGGCGUGUUGACUCGCAGGGUGGUGGCUAAUUUGGAAAAACGCUAGGUCAUCUCUGCUUCCUGUCAGCCUGUGAGAGGGGUCGCCGCUCACGGAGGGUGACACGGUUUUCGCUCUGAAAUUUCAGAUUUCAGUAGUGCCCUCUCCAGAAUGCAAGCUUCAGACUUCUCUUUUGCUUUACCAUUUUUAUUAUUUCAACUCAUAUCAUGACCUGUAAUGGAAAAUGCUGGAAGAAAAAAUGCUUGGAGAAUGUGCUGGGACUGCAGUGGUAGUACCUGGCUGUGCCAGCCUGUGCCUGCGGUGGAUGUCACAUAGGAUGAGUCAGAAUUUUAGCAAAAGGACAAGGCAGGCAGGUUUUCAAGAGUUAGGAAAUCAAGAGUUGAAUAUAUGGAAAUCAUAUUGUGAUGGUAUUACAGACAACAGAAUUAAAAGGCACAGCAAAGUUGAAAGAUGA